rnacentral:rRNA from 1 species
CCCUUAGUAACUGCGAGUGAAGUGGGAAAAGCUCAAAUUUAAAAUCUGGCAGUGAUUUGCUGUCCGAGUUGUAACCUAGAGAAGUGUAACCGUCACUGGACCAUGUNUAAGUCUCCUGGGAUGGAGCGUCNUAGAGGGUGAGAAUCCCGUGUAUGACAUGGANUACCAGUGGAUUGUGGUGUGCUCUCAAAGAGUUGAGUUGUUUGGGAAUGCAGCUCUAAAAGGGUGGUAAAUUCCAUCUAAAGCUAAAUAUUGGCGAGAGACCGAUAGCGAACAAGUACCGUGAGGGAAAGAUGAAAAGAACUUUGGAAAGAGAGUUAAACAGUAUGUGAAAUUGUUGAAAGGGAAACGUUUGAAGUCAGAGAGGUUGGUCAGGGAUCAGCCCAGCUGUAUUUUUGCUGGGNGGAAUUUCUGGACAACNGGCCAACAUGAGUUUUGACUGCUAGAGAAAGGCAUUGGGAAUGUGGCACCUUUUGGGGUGUGUUAUAGCCCAAAGUCAUAUAGAGNAGUUAGGACUGAGGAAAGCAGCACGCCGCAAUGGCGGGGUUNCGACCACAUUCGUGCUUAGGAUGUUGGCAU